UGUGCUUCUAUUUAGUUAGCAGGAUUAAUGUACCUUCAGCAGAUACGUGUCAUAGAUUUCUUUUGUUAUUUCUUCAUUUGCUAACUUUCAAGCUAGAAUGAAAUGCAAUAAAAUGAUGAACUUGUGAACAGAUUUGGAGAACAACAGAAAAUCAUUUUGAAGAUUUUAGUGCAAAUGUAUCAUCUGUUUAACCACGUUUUUGUUCUUUUUACUUUUCCAGACACUAAUAAUAUGUAUCACUGGAGACACAUACUGUCAUUUGAUCAGCCAUAGCUGAUGACACUGCUGUAACUUUCAGUUUGUAUAGUGUUCAAAAAUGUGCGUACAUGUACAAUGAGGUUCUCCAAGACCUCAGACUCCUUCUUGGCCCUUUGGCAGACUCCUUCCAGUGUGUCGAUGUCUCUUGCACUGGGGAGCCCAGCAGUGCGCACAGCACUCCAAACGUGUCUCACCGGGGCUGAGCAGAAGGGAAGGAUCAUCUCUCUCAACCUGCUGGCAAUGCAUCCCAAGAGGCUGAUAGUUUGUUGUUGUUGUUGUGAUGAUACAUGACUGGCUCAUAGAAACACAUCACAGAAUUAUAGAAUGGCUUGGUUGGAAGGAACCUACAAACCCAUCUAAUUCCAUCCACCCUGCUGUGGUCAGAGCUGCCACCCACCAAGUUGGGCUGCCCAGGGCUUCAUCUAACCUGUCCUUUAAUGCCUUCAAGGAUGGGGCAUUCACAACUUCUCUGGGCACCCUGUGCCAGUGCUUCUGCACACCCUGAGGAAAAUUUCCCUGUAAUAUCUAACCCUUUCUAAUAGAUCUCCUUUCUUCUAAAUGAUUCUCCCAUGUCUCCCCCAUGUCCUUUCAUCCAGAUGAUGUAAAAAGUUGGUAUCCAUCUUG